AAACCACUUGCUAUGAGUAGAUGCUAAUCUGCACACCCUGCAUGCACCCUGUAGAGGAAGGGUGGAGCCUCAUCUUCUCUGAAACCCUUGUUCACACUGGUGUGGGCUUGGACCAGCCUAGAGAAGCAAUGCCCUUCUGUCAUGUCUCUAGACCCAGAAUGAGCCUUUGGGACAGAAACUGAGGAGGAGGAUGCUUUGGCUUUCUAAUUUAUGUUCACACCAAAUGGGGGUGCAGCUCAGAAGAUGCCCAGCUUAUCCAACCCCCCUUCAAGCAAAAGACACCUUGGUGACCAGGCUUUUAUUUCAGUCAAUGGUGGUUAAACUGCAUUUUGUGAAGUUUGAAAAACUGCAGUUUGGGGAAGCAAGACUGAUCUGAAAACUUAUGGAAACACAACAAAGAAAUAUGAGACCUCGGAGUUCCAGUUCCAUCCAUUCAUUUGGAGCCAUCUGGAAUCAAAAGUGUUGUUUGGGAAUGGGUCAUUUUUCUGUGGGGAUGAAUUUGUCUUCUUUGACAAACUCAAGC
rnacentral:lncRNA from 1 species